rnacentral:rRNA from 1 species
GACGAACGCUGGCGGCGUGCUUAACACAUGCAAGUCGAACGGUAAGGCCCUUCGGGGUACACGAGUGGCGAACGGGUGAGUAACACGUGGGUGAUCUGCCCUGCACUUCGGGAUAAGCCUGGGAAACUGGGUCUAAUACCGGAUAGGACCACUGCCUGCAUGGGUGGUGGGGGAAAGCUUUUGCGGUGUGGGAUGGGCCCGCGGCCUAUCAGCUUGUUGGUGGGGUGGUGGCCUACCAAGGCGACGACGGGUAGCCGGCCUGAGAGGCUGACCGGCCACACGGGGACCGAGAUACAGCCCAGGCUCCUACGGGAGGCAGCAGUGGGGAAUAUUGCACAAUGGGCGCAAGCCUGAUGCAGCGACGCCGCGUGAGGGAUGACGGCCUUCGGGUUGUAAACCUCUUUCAGCACCGACGAAGCGCAAGUGACGGUAGGUGCAGAAGAAGGACCGGCCAACUACGUGCCAGCCGCCGCCGUAA